rnacentral:rRNA from 1 species
GGACGAACGCUGGCGGCGCGCCUAACACAUGCAAGUCGAACGAGCGAGAGAGAGCUUGCUUUCUCGAGCGAGUGGCGAACGGGUGAGUAACGCGUGAGGAACCUGCCUCAAAGAGGGGGACAACAGUUGGAAACGACUGCUAAUACCGCAUAAGCCCACGGCUCGGCAUCGAGCAGAGGGAAAAGGAGUAAUCCGCUUUGAGAUGGCCUCGCGUCCGAUUAGCUAGUUGGUGAGGUAAUGGCCCACCAAGGCGACGAUCGGUAGCCGGACUGAGAGGUUGAACGGCCACAUUGGGACUGAGACACGGCCCAGACUCCUACGGGAGGCAGCAGUGGGGAAUAUUGCACAAUGGGGGAAACCCUGAUGCAGCGACGCCGCGUGGAGGAAGAAGGUCUUCGGAUUGUAAACUCCUGUUGUUGGGGAAGAUAAUGACGGUACCCAACAAGGAAGUGACGGCUAACUACGUG